rnacentral:rRNA from 1 species
UACGGGGGGGGCAAGCGUUGUUCGGAAUUACUGGGCGUAAAGGGCUCGUAGGCGGCCAACUAAGUCGGACGUGAAAUCCCUCGGCUUAACCGGGGAACUGCGUCCGAUACUGGAUGGCUUGAGUUUGGGAGAGGGAUGCGGAAUUCCAGGUGUAGCGGUGAAAUGCGUAGAUAUCAGGAGGAACACCGGUGGCGAAGGCGGGUCUCUGGGCCGAUACUGACGCUGAGGAGCGAAAGCGUGGGGAGCGAACAGG